GGGUGCAAUUAUACCAGCACUAAAGCAUCGGAUCCCAUCAGAACUUCGAAGUUAAGCAUGCUUGGGCCAGAGUAGUACUUGGAUGGGUGAACCCCUGGGAAGUCCUCAUGUUGCACUCC